rnacentral:tRNA from 1 species
UCCCUAGUGACUCAGAUGGUAAAGAAUCUGCCUGCAAUGCAGGAGACCUGGGUUCAACCCUGGGUAGGGAA